UAGGAGGUAGUAUAAUUAUGGUAAAACAAAGAAUUUUGAUUUCUUGGAUAUGAGUUCAAUUCUCGUCUUUCUAG
rnacentral:tRNA from 1 species